ACACGAGAAAGGAGGUGGUCCAAGAGUGAAUUCUCAAAGGACGCGUGAGGUGGUUGCGAGCUAGCUCGGACCUUCGUACAACGUCGCCGGCCACCUCCCAAAGUGGACCGACGAAGCGGACGUUCAGGUAGCUACUCCAACGCAGCCACCGCAGCCCGUGGGUGGCGCGAUCUCGUCCAUCGCGCCCACCGGUUCCGACCGGUUGCCCACGGGCUGUCUCAU
rnacentral:sRNA from 1 species